rnacentral:misc_RNA from 1 species
GAACAUACUCAUCAAUAUCAUAUGUAUGAAACUCAGGAGUGUGACAUUGAGUAGGACCAAUGGGCAACUUCAAUACACUUUCAUAACCUUGUAGCAUAGCAUAGUCUGGAUAGUCCUACAUGGUGAGAAGGGAACUACAACUUCGAUAUGACCGAUACUCUUGCUCUCAGCUCCGAUGCCACUGCAUCGAUGAACUCUUCAGUGUUC